CCUACGGGUGGCAGCAGUGAGGACUAUUGGUCAAUGGACGAGAUUCUGAACCAGCCAAGUAGCGUGAAGGAUGACUGCCCUAUGGAUUGUAAACUUCUUUUAUAUGGGAAUAAACUGUUCCACUUUUUGGAUUUUGUAUGUACCAUAUGAAUAAGGCUCGGCUAACUCCGUGCCAGCAGCCGCGGUAAUACGGAGGAUCCGAGCGUUCUCCGGAUUUAUUUGGUUUAAAGGGAGCGUAGGUGGGUUGUUAAGUCAGUUGUGAAAGGUUGCGGCUCAACCGUAAAAUUGCAGUUGAAACUGGCAGUAUUGAGUAAAGUAGAGGUGGGCGGAAUGCGUGGUGUAGCGGUGAAAUGCUUAGAUAUCACGAAGAACCCCGAUUGCGAAGGCAGCUCACUGGACUGCAACUGACACUGAGGCUCGAAAGUGUGGGGAUCAAACAGGAUUAGAUACCCCUGUAGUC
rnacentral:rRNA from 1 species